ACUUACGGCCAUACCAACCUGGCUAUGCCUGAUCUCGUCUGAUCUCGGAAGCUAAGCAGGUUUGGGCCUGGUUAGUACUUGGAUGGGAGACCGCCUGGGAAUACCAGGUGCUGUAAGCU
ensembl:rRNA 5S_rRNA 5S ribosomal RNA